CACUUUGAUAUUAGGUAGCAUUUGGUUGUAACAUUAAGUUUAUUUUAUUUUAUUUAUUUUUGUUUUUUUUUGAAGAAAAACACUUAAUUUGAUAUUCUCAAUUUUUUUUUGUGUUAUUUUUAGGAAAAAUGUAAACUAAUAAUCCCACCUUUUGAAAUUCCAAUAACAAUUCCACCUUUGGUAGGGGUCUUUCAUUAACAAUCCCUGACCGGUUUGAUUAAUAUAGUAACCAGAUUUCUUAGGUUUAAGACACGUGUCGGAUUUUAAUAGAGUUAUUCUAAUUUUUAAUAAUUAAAAAAAAUAGCAAAAUUAAUUUAAAAAAACUAAAACCCCUAACCUCUACUUCGGCCUGCCGCAGCCCCGCCACUGCAUUCCCCUCCCCAUCUCCCGCCCUUGCUUUCCCCAGCAACCCAACUUACCCCCCAAGGUGCCGGAUCCAACCACUGCAUUCCCCACCGCAUCGCCGCCCUAUCCCCGUAGUAGUGUUAGUCAUCAAUGGCGGAUUAUUAAGAUCAGUUUCCAAGGAAAGUAAUAAACCCUUAGUGAGAACCUUACAACUUUCUUCCUAACUCAUAUUUCUUCGUCCCUCUUAAUUCAUUGUCUCUUUCACCGCUACCCCCUUUUCGCUCCCGGUGCUCCCUAUAGCCACCGUCCACCAUAGCCUCCCUCUGCCGCAACAACCCAUGCCAACGAUUGCAAUCUCUAGGCCUCCAUCCUUGGGGUCUUCCACCUUUAAGUUAGGGUUACGGUUAGUUCAGCUUGUCGAGAAUCCAAGUCAUUUGGGUGAACGAGAUGCAGAAAUCCAAGGCAAUACCAGUUAUAAUCGGAGGAAUGGUGUUUGAUAUACUUCCUACUGCCAAAAUGACCAUUUCUAACAAGGGGAGUGAGAUACCAUGAGUUAGAGCAUUGGAAGUUCAAAGACGAUGGAAAAAAAAUACUUCCGCCAUGCUUCAGGGCCACAAAAACAUGCUUCCUUAUAUGUAGCUGCCAAUGAUACUGCUAUUGUUGCUGCUGGUGCUAAUGUCUACUACAGUUAUGAUGUCUGUUGCUGCUGAUGUUUGUUGCUACAGCUGCUUGUUGGUCUCGUACUACUGACUAAUGUUACUGCAAGUUGACGCUUGAUGCUAUUACUUAUAGCAUAGUACUGCUGACUGCCGUUACUGCAAGCUCCUUCUAGCCACUGAUAUUGCUAGCAUGGUACUUUUAAAUGCAGUUACUAUUAGCUACUGCUAGCUGUUGUCUAUUAGCUACCGCGAUGAUUUUUUUUUUUUUUAAAUAAAUAUUGUGCUAAACAUGUUUGUGAAUUUGGCGGUCAAGCUAGAGACCAAGGUUCACUUUCUUUUUGUUUUGUUUAAUAAAUUGUUGAGACAAGAAAAAAAUUGUGUUGAUGGAUACUUUUUAAAGAAGCUAUGAAAUUUUAUCAAUUCAAAUUA